GGAAACACAAAGCAGCCUGGGACUUCAGAAGCAGCCACAGGGACACCAUGACCUGGAUGGCCCUUCUCCUCAGCCUCCUGUCUCAUUGCACAGGGUCUGUAGAAUCAUAUGUGCUGACUCAGCCAUCCUCAGUCUCAGUGACCCCAGGACAGACAGCCAGAAUCACCUGUGAGGGCAACAACAUUGGAAGUUAUAAUGUGCACUGGUACCAGCAGAAGCUGGAACGGGCCCCUAUGCUGGUCAUACAGUUUGAUAGCGACCGUCCCUCUGGGAUCUCUGACCGAUUCUCUGGCUCCAACUCUGGGAACACAGCCACCCUGACCAUCAGCAGAGCCCAGGCUGAAGAUGAGGCUGACUAUUACUGUCAGGUGUGGGACAGCAGCAGUAAAGCUCACAGUGACACAGGCAGACAGGGAAGUGAGACAGAAACCUCCACCAGCCUGGCAUCCAAGACCCCUCCCUUCCUUCAUCACCCUGACAGCAGAUAG